ACUUUUUUAGUAUAAAAAAAUAUUUUUAACUUCCAAUUAAAAGAUCUCACUAGAGAAAAAGUA
rnacentral:tRNA from 1 species